GAUGAACGCUGGCGGCGUGCCUAAUACAUGCAAGUCGAGCGAACAGAUGAGGAGCUUGCUCCUCUGACGUUAGCGGCGGACGGGUGAGUAACACGUGGAUAACCUACCUAUAAGACUGGGAUAACUUCGGGAAACCGGAGCUAAUACCGGAUAAUAUAUUGAACCGCAUGGUUCAAUAGUGAAAGGCGGUUUUGCUGUCACUUAUAGAUGGAUCCGCGCCGCAUUAGCUAGUUGGUAAGGUAACGGCUUACCAAGGCAACGAUGCGUAGCCGACCUGAGAGGGUGAUCGGCCACACUGGAACUGAGACACGGUCCAGACUCCUACGGGAGGCAGCAGUAGGGAAUCUUCCGCAAUGGGCGAAAGCCUGACGGAGCAACGCCGCGUGAGUGAUGAAGGUCUUCGGAUCGUAAAACUCUGUUAUUAGGGAAGAGCAAAUGUGUAAGUAACUAUGCACGUCUUGACGGUACCUAAUCAGAAAGCCACGGCUAACUACGUG
rnacentral:rRNA from 1 species